AACGAACGCUGGCGGCAUGCCUAACACAUGCAAGUCGAACGAGACCUUCGGGUCUAGUGGCGCACGGGUGCGUAACGCGUGGGAACCUGCCCUUAGGUUCGGAAUAACUCCCCGAAAGGGGUGCUAAUACCGGUUAAUGUCUUCGGACCAAAGAUUUAUCGCCUUUGGAUGGGCCCGCGUUGGAUUAGCUUGUUGGUAGGGUAAAAGCCUACCAAGGCGUCGAUCCAUAGCUGGUCUGAGAGGAUGAUCAUCCACACUGGGACUGAGACACGGCCCAGACUGGGACGGGAGGGAGCAGUGGGGAAUAUAGGACAAUGGGCGAAAGCCUGAUACAGCAAUGCCGCGUGAGUGAUGAAGGCCGUAGGGUUGUAAAGCUCUUUUACCCGGGAUGAGAAUGACAGUACCGGGAGAAUAAGCUCCGGCUAACUCCGUG
rnacentral:rRNA from 1 species